GCCAUUCUCUAAUCUUGAGUACCCAGGGACACGAUACACUGCGGAAGGCUGCAGGGACCUCUGCCCAGGAAAGCCAGGCUUGCAUGAAGGAAAUGAUUUCCUAUGAUUCUGCUUACUGCUUAAAAAAAUUAAUCAAGUUUUCUGCCUGACAAGAUCCAGUAUCUGCCGGAGGAGCCCCACCUUCUGCUACUAUUAUGUUCUUCAGAUGAGUAGAAGAGAGUGGGGAGGGAGAGAGCAGGAAGAAGAAAGGAAGAAUAAUGUCUUGAAAUUGAGCUCAGAUGGAAAAGAAUGGUGUUACUGAGACCCUUCAAGAUUCCCAGUGUAAUUCAAUAAAGAAAAGGCAACACAAAGGGGUUGUAUAGAAUUCGCCACAUUAUGGACCCAUGUCAUAGAGAGAAUCCACGGUGCAUUUGUUAGCUGCAUUUAAAUGACAACACUUUCAGAUCCAAGAUUUAUUUGGGAUAAAAAUUUACCUGGAUGCAAGGCUAUUCAGAAUGAAGAUUAAUGAUAUGGUUUGGCUGUGUCCCCACCCAAACUUCAUCUUGAAUUCCCACGUGUUGUGAGAGGGACCUGGUGGGAGAUAAUUGAACCAUGGGGGCAGGUCUUUCUCAUGCUGUUCUCAUGAGAGUGAAUAAGUCUCAUGAAACCUGAUGGUUUUAUAAGGGGGAAUUUCCCUGCACAAGCUCUCUCUCUGCCUUUUGCCAUCCAUGUAAGACGUGACUUGGUCCUCCUUGCCUUCUACCAUGAUUAUGAGGCCUCCCCAGCCACGUGGAACUGUGAGUCCAUUAAACCUCUUUCUUUUGUAAA
rnacentral:lncRNA from 1 species